UACGGAGGGUGCGAGCGUUGUCCGAAGUUACUGGGCGUAAAGCGCGCGUAGGCGGGUUGGUAAGUCCGUUGUGAAAGCCCUGGGCUCAACCUGGGAAUUGCAGUGGAUACUGGCGAGCUAGAGUGCGGUAGAGGAUGGUGGAAUUCCCGGUGUAGCGGUGAAAUGCGUAGAGAUCGGGAGGAACACCCGUGGCGAAGGCGGCCAUCUGGACCAGCACUGACGCUGAGGCACGAAAGCGUGGGGAGCAAACAGG
rnacentral:rRNA from 1 species